UACGUAGGGGGCAAGCGUUGUCCGGAAUCAUUGGGCGUAAAGAGCGCGUAGGCGGCAUGACAAGUCACUUGUGAAAUCUCUGGGCUUAACCCAGAACGGCCAAGUGAUACUGUCACGCUAGAGUGCGGAAGGGGCAAUCGGAAUUCUUGGUGCAGCGGUGAAAUGCGUAGAUAUCAAGAGGAACACCUGAGGUGAAGACGGGUUGCUGGGCCGACACUGACGCUGACAGCGCGAAAGCCAGGGGAGCAAACGGG
rnacentral:rRNA from 1 species